UUGCUGUGAGAACUGUCACAACAUUGCUUUUGUUUGCUGCAACUGGAUUGGUCUAUGGCCUUUUAGAAAUACCUCAUGAGGAGUGGAUGCAUAUGAGACGGUACCAAUCCUCAGAGUCUAUGAAUGAAACUCUCCAUUCAUAAACUCUGCCAAUCCUAUCUCCGGAAGCGAUUUGAUGUCUAUGAGAUACCUGAUUCAAAGAUUUCCAAAAACUGUCGACCUUAUAAAGCGACAUUUCUGUUCAAUCUUGAAAUUCACGAUUUCCUCCUCAAAAACAAGCAGGUGGAGCACAAGCUUUGCCUGGUGCUUCUUAAUGGUUUUUCAUUGAGGGUAGUUAUCAACAUUGUGCGUGAAAGCCGUAGCUCAACUAAAUCCUCUCUGAAAUGGAUGGUGUCCUGGAAAGGCAAAAACGGCCAACGAUGGAUAACGCUCCAGAUGUCGGAUGAAGAAAUGCGUUGGACAUCUUCCGGGGAUCUUUGUUUGGAGUGUCCAUUGGCAUGGUAACACUCAUUUGGAUGUGAAUACAUAGAAAUAAAUAAUUUCAUAAAUAUGAAGCUUGAAAGUUGAAAACGAAUAAUGUGCCAUUAUGAAAAAAAAAACAAUAAAAACAGGAAAAAUUUGAGCUUA
rnacentral:lncRNA from 1 species